UUCCAUAGUAACAUCUGUCACACAGCCUGGGCUGGCUGCACAGGAUGCUCUCAGGGAUUGUCAGUGGCAGGGAAGCUCCUGGGCCUCUGUGGCGGGGAGCAAGGGUGGUGGGAGGAGCAGGGGAACCAGCAAAAGUAAGAGAGAGAUGUCUGCUCUUGUCUGGAGUGCUGGGAAAGCUGCAGCCAGGGGGAAGAGUUUUAAUCAUUUCCAACCACAUUGUUACAAUGCGAAGACCACAGUACUGGAGUCAGCACCAAGUGAGGGGUGACAUCACACUGAAGAAAUGAGCUUUGGGGGAACUCCUGACAACCCAGAUAUUUUAAUAUUUUUGUUGACCUUCAAGUAAUUAAAAACAAGGGGAAUUCCCCCCAAUAGCCUAUAGGCUCCGAGUCUCAUCUGUCUGCUUUUAGGGUAGGAAGGCUGACAUCAGAAAGGCAGUGAGGGACAAGGGAAGGAAAAGAGGAAAAAAUCUGGG